AGUGAACGCUGGCGGUAGGCCUAACACAUGCAAGUCGAACGGCAGCACAGUAAGAGCUUGCUCUUACGGGUGGCGAGUGGCGGACGGGUGAGGAAUACAUCGGAAUCUACUUUUUCGUGGGGGUUAACGUAGGGAAACUUACGCUAAUACCGCAUACGACCUACGGGUGAAAGCAGGGGAUCUUCGGACCUUGCGCGAUUGAAUGAGCCGAUGUCGGAUUAGCUAGUUGGCGGGGUAAAGGCCCACCAAGGCGCGGAUCCGUAGCUGGUCUGAGAGGAUGAUCCGCCACACUGGAACUGAGACGCGGUCCAGACUCCUACGGGAGGCAGCAGUGGGGACUAUUGGACAAUGUGCGCAAGCCUGAUCCAGCCAUGCCACGUGGGUGAAGAAGGCCUUCGGGUGGUAAAGCCCUUUUGUUGGGAAAGAAAAGCAGCAGGUUAAUACCCCGCUGUUCUGACGGUACCCAUAGAAUAAGCACCGGCUAACUUCGU
rnacentral:rRNA from 1 species